CUCCCGAAUUUCAAAGAGCUAUUAUUCUAUUUUUUUAUUGUUUCAUAAAUAUUAUUAAUAGGAUGAUAGAAAUGAAAUGUUAUUCGUUUUGAAAUGUAUCUGGUUUUCUAAGAAAUGAAUUUAAUUCAGCUUUCGUUGUAUGUUGAUUUCUAAUAAUUGAUUUCUAAUGGACGAGUAAGCAAUUUAAUCGGGGAUAAGCUCGUUUAAAAAUUUUUAUUUAAAAGUGAUUUGGCUUGGCCGGUAGGAUUAGAAUUUUCCAUCAUUUGUAUUAUGUUGUAGUUAGCCUGGCUGAGGAUUGAAUUUAUAUUUAUUAAUAAGUUAUUUAUUAGAAAAUUGAUUCCAAUUUUGUUAAUUAAGUUAUAAUGAUAGAAUUAGUAUAUUUUAUUGUAUUUUUAAUGAGAAUAGGCAGAAUAAUCUAAGGAACUCGGCAAGAGAACCUUCACCUGUUUAUUAAAAACAUGUCCUUUUGAUUAUAAUAUAAGGUCUGGCCUGCUCUAUGAAGACUUAAAUGGCCGCAGUAAUUUGACUGUGCUAAGGUAGCAUAAUCAUUAGUCUCUUAAUUAGGGACUGGAAUGAAAGGUUUGAUGAGGGGUUGACUGUCUCCGAUUUUUUUAUAUAAUUUUAUUUUUAGGUAAUAAAGCCUAAAUUUUUUUGAAAGACGAGAAGACCCUAUAGAGUUUUAUAAAUUGGUCCGUUACUUGCUUUUGUAAAUUAUUUGGUUAACGGGUUUAUUUAUUUGAUUGGGGUGAUUAUAAAAUUUAGUUAACUUUUAUUUUUGGUGGACACAGAUGAGUGUUAUUUUUGAUCCGGUAUUACCGAUUAUAAGAAUAAAUUACCUUAGGGAUAACAGCGUAAUCUUUUUUUAGAGCUCUAAUCGAAAAAGGGGGUUGCGACCUCGAUGUUGGAUUAAAAUUAGUCUGGGGCGCAGAAGUCUCAGUGCUGGGUCUGUUCGACCUUUAAAAUUUUACAUGAUCUGAGUUUAAACCGGCGUGAGCCAGGUUGGUUUCUAUCUUCAAUUUGUUAAUAAAUUUUAGUACGAAAGGACCAAAUUU
rnacentral:rRNA from 1 species